AGGCUUUGAUCCUGGCUCAGAUUGAACGCUGGCGGCAUGCUUUACACAUGCAAGUCGAACGGUAACAGGUCUUCGGAUGCUGACGAGUGGCGAACGGGUGAGUAAUGCAUCGGAACGUGCCCAGUCGUGGGGGAUAACGCAGCGAAAGCUGUGCUAAUACCGCAUACGAUCUGCGGAUGAAAGCGGGGGACCUUCGGGCCUCGCGCGAUUGGAGCGGCCGAUGUCAGAUUAGGUAGUUGGUGGGGUAAAGGCUCACCAAGCCAACGAUCUGUAGCUGGUCUGAGAGGACGACCAGCCACACUGGGACUGAGACACGGCCCAGACUCCUACGGGAGGCAGCAGUGGGGAAUUUUGGACAAUGGGCGCAAGCCUGAUCCAGCAAUGCCGCGUGCAGGAAGAAGGCCUUCGGGUUGUAAACUGCUUUUGUACGGAACGAAAAGCUCUGGGUUAAUACCCUGGGGUCAUGACGGUACCGUAAGUAAUAGCACCGGCGUA
rnacentral:rRNA from 1 species